rnacentral:tRNA from 1 species
GCCUUCUUGGUGUAGUGGUCAGCACGCUCGGCGCGUAUUCGAGAGGUCCGUGGUUCAAGUCCCGGCGACGGCA